UCGGGAAUUUUGGGCAAUGGGCGAAAGCCUGACCCAGCAACGCCGCGUGAGGGAUGAAGUAUUUCGGUAUGUAAACCUCGAAAGAAUGGGAAGAAUAAAUGACGGUACCAUUUAUAAGCUCCGGCUAGCUACGUGCCAGCAGCCGCGGUAAUACGUAGGGAGCAAGCGUUGUUCGGAUUUACUGGGCGUAAAGGGCGCGUAGGCGGCGCGGUAAGUCACUUGUGAAAUCUCUGAGCUUAACUCAGAACGGCCAAGUGAUACUGCUGUGCUAGAGUGCGGAAGAGGCAACCGGAAUUCUUGGUGUAGCGGUGAAAUGCGUAGAUAUCAAGAGGAACACCUGAGGCGAAGGCGGGUUGCUGGGCCGACACUGACGCUGAUGCGCGAAAGCCAGGGGAGCAAACG
rnacentral:rRNA from 1 species